rnacentral:tRNA from 1 species
GCCUUCUUAGCUCAGGGGUAGAGCGUUCCACUCGUACAAUUUGAUGGAAAGGUCGCUAGUUCGAAUCUGGUAGGAGGCA